CGCGUAUUUCCUAUGAAAUGGUCACAUUCCCAACAAGAAUUAAAUAUGGCCGCAUGCAAACAACACGGUAAAAUUUUAACAGAUUAAUUAAAAUAACGAAAGAAUUUUAUUCUCAAAAUAUUUUGUUGUUGUUUGCAUGCAGCCACUGUUAAAAAAAUAAAUUAUGUUGUUUUACGAUGGCCGAAUUUUUCGGUUCCGGUUUCGGUUUUUAUACACAGCAGACGUAAACAAAAGUGAAAGUCGGACGACAGCAAUAGAUAUGAAGGCAAAAUCAUUUCAUUAACGGUAUUUAGCAUCUUUGACAAAUGGUAAGCUUCAAGAGAGCUAUUGGAAUUCUGAAAACAUGCAUACAAGGAUGACAUAGAUCCCAUGAAGUAAUGCUGCAGAAUGAAAUCUCAGUGAUCUGAUUGUUGCUGUUUUUCUUACUGAAGCUUGCAAAGGAAUAAACAGUGCCAAGCAAACAAAUUAUGAAAGUGUUUGAUAUCAUCUGACAUGGUAAAUUAUGACAAUCUUGGUGAUCUGCCGAUAUGGAUAGUCACUACAUUUCAGGAACACAAUAUCUUAUAUGGAUUGAACAUUUUUUCUGGAGCCAUUACUUAAUUAAUGCAUGUGUGGUACAGCCAAUGUCACACCGGUGUGAAAGUUGAUGGGGUCAGUUCUUUGAUACCUUGAUUACUAAAAACACACACUCUCUAUGGAAGAGCUACUCAGGACUUAUAUCAGCAAUUAUGGGUAGUUCAAAAAGUUAACUAAGUGAAACAUAAAAGUGACAGCGAUUUUAGGUCAAUGAAAUUCAUUGUUCCUUUUUUUAGCUCACCUGAGCUGAAAGCUUAAGUGAGCUCAGCUAUUCUGAUCACUUUUUGUUUGGCGUCCGUCUGUCUGUCUGCUUUUACAUUUUGACUUCUUUUCCCGAACCACUGGGCCAAUAUCAACCUAACUUUGCACAAAUCAUCCUUAUUUAGAUGAAGGGAUUUAAGUUUAUUAAAAUGAAGGACCACACCUUCCCUCAAAGGGAGAUAUUUAAGAA